UACAGAGGUCCCGAGCGUUGUUCGGAUUCACUGGGCGUAAAGGGUGCGUAGGUGGUCGGGUAAGUCCGAGGUGAAAUCUCCAAGCUUAACUUGGGAACUGCCUUGGAUACUAUUCGGCUGGAGGGUUGGAGGGGGACUGGGAAUGCUUGGUGUAGCAGUGAAAUGCGUAGAUAUCAAAGCGGGAACACCAGUGGCGAAGGCGAGUCCCUGGACAACUC
rnacentral:rRNA from 1 species